GAUGAACGCUGGCGGCGUGCCUAAUACAUGCAAGUCGAACGCAGUGGCGAACGGGUGAGUAACACGUGGGAACCCUACCCUUCAGCGGGGGAUAACGAUCGGAAACGAUGACUAAUACCGCAUCUGAAGGGUGGUCCGGCGGUGCAUUAGCUAGACGGUGGGGUAACGGCUCAACUAGGUGAUGAUGAGUAGCCGACCUGAGAGGGGAACCGGCCACAUUGGGACGGAGAUACGGCCCAGAGUACUACGGGGGGCAGAAGUGGGGGAUAUUGCACAAUGGUCGAAAGCCUGAUGCAGCGACGCCGCGUGGGGUAUGAAGGCUUUCGGGUUGUAAACCUCUUUCGGUAUCGAACGGGUAGGUGGAGAAGAAGCGCCGGCUAACUACGUGCCAGCAGCCGCGGUAAUAC
rnacentral:rRNA from 1 species